rnacentral:misc_RNA from 1 species
UGAAGCAGAGACAGAGAGACCUCAAUAACCUUCUUUUCUUUAAUCCUUUCUCUGUUGAUAACAUUGGAAAAAAGUCUCUUUCUACAUACAUAUACGGUCAAAGAUUUGCGCCUCUUCUUGAAGUGAAUAUAUAUCUACAUGGAUGAUGGUCUUGGGAAGUUAAAGAUUGUUCCAGAUCACUUUCAAGUUUCAACUUCUAGCGAGAACACUCCUCAAAGACAAAAUACAUCUAAUCUGCAGCCAAGAAUUGAUAAUUCAGCUAGGUACUCAUUUUUUUUUCCUUGAAGGAAAGGAAAAGUAAAAUAGAAUGCCUAAGAAAUUUGAAUGAUUUCAGUUCAGUUCUUCUGAUUUAGAAUAGGUCCAGUAGCCGUUUCUGGGCUAGAAGACAACUAAAGAGAUCUGCAUUCAUGUUGAAUUUAUUUAGUCUACGGGGGCUGCCUUGGAGUUCUAGCAGCGAUGGUCAGCAAAAGGUUCAAUGAAUAGCCCUUUUGACUUUCUUUUUACCCCUCUCAAAAGGCUGUGACAUGGUAUGAGCUACACAAUGGGCCGUAGCCCUUCCCUUUCAAUAACUCUCAUCAUAAUGGUGAAAACUUCCACCAUAUUGGUGGAUGUGGAGACUCAAACCCCACCCCACUUCUCACACCCUUUAAAGGGCAAAAGGAGACCAACCAAGUUUGGCCUUUUUAACUUUCUUAUUGGUGAUUUUCGUUUGUAUGCAUUCUUUGACCACUAUCAAUUUUUUUAUCUGCAGGUUGAGUUGACUGUAGCGGAGUUAGAAUCCCUUCGGUCAGAACUUGCUGACAUAGAAGAGAGGGAAGCUCACUUGAAAGCACAGUAAGGACAAUUUGAUACAUCAGCUGUGAAACUGUGAUGGCUGGUUUUGCUUAGCAAAUAUUGAGUCUGUUAAUUAUCUAAUUGGCAAUCUGUAUUUUGAUAUCCUAAGCGCUGUGCAAUGAACACCCACAAAAAUGAAGUUAGGCUUGCUGACUAGAACUCCAUUUCUUGCACUGUUGAAAAUGACAAACCCAGUUUUGUUUACAUUGUUUCAUUUUCCAUUAUUGAUCGUCUUCAAUUGUAAAAUGCAAUAACUCCAUUCCAUAUGCUUGUCAAAAAUUACAAAUCCAGUUCUGUUUACUCAAUUGCAUUUUCAAUUAUUGUUUGUUUUCAAUUUUAAAAAGAAAUCAAUUCAGCAUGUUUUGUUUCUGAUUUUUGGUAAUCAUACAUUUCUUUGUUAGAAAGCAUUUCUGUCUUUUUCAUAUCAGUAGUUAGAUCCUGUUUAUACAGGUUGGAACAAGUUGAUGAAAUUCUGCGCUCUGCUCGCUUCUCUGGCUAUUUAUACAUUCGAACAGUAAUGAAUUUCCCCAUCUCACUUGUCAUACUUUCUAUCAAUUUAUACUGCAAUACCUUGUGCACAUUGCCUUUAUAAUAUAUGAUUUUCCUUUAUUUUCCUUUUCCUUUUCCCUUUUUAAAGAGAUGGACAGCUUUACCUGGGGAACCUCCUCCAAUUGAUGAUACUGAAGUUGAUGAUUGGCUUCCUCGUUUUGUUGUCCUUCAUGGGCCCUGCAUCUUCUUUUAUUUGUUAUGCACAGGUAACUGGAUUUCUAGUAAUGCUUCCUCCUAUUAGUUAUAAAUGUCUAGGAAUUGUUGCAUGUGAUGGGAUUUAGUGCUCCUUCGCUCAAUUCCAUAAGAGGAGUACCACCUGUGGUUCUAUGCAGUAAUUUUGGUAAAUUUGUGCACUUGCUAUGCAGCAAUUAGCAGUUUAGCAAAAUCUAUGUGAUAGAGGGCAGCCUCAUUAAUAUUCCUUCCAUUCUUUUUUUCUUCCUGCAUAUUGCCUUCUUUAUAGCAUAAUCAAUUAGUAGUAUGCCGUCGCUUCUCGACUAGUUUUGCUUCUCUUCCUUCAGUAUCUGAACAAAGUUACAUUGGCAUGGGAUAAUAAUAAGAAGAAAAAGAAGAAGAAGAACAACACUAGCUCCAGAAACUCUCAGUUUUUUUGCAUGAGCCAUUUAGUCUGUUGAUGUUAUUGCUAAUUUUUCUAUUAGUUUGCUUCAAUUUCAUUUAGAGUCUGCAAUCAUUUAAUACCUAAAGCUGAUGAUAAAAAUUUUGUUUAGGAGCAGAGUAAGGCAUUGAUUAAUUUUUGCAUAUAAACAUUUUUGUUAAUUCAAAUCAUUUAUGUUGCUUGCUCAUGGAAAUUGAAAUUUAUCCAGAUUUGAGUCCUCAGGAUUCCACUCUACUGUCUGAUAUUGUUGAAGUGGGUUCAUUGCCAAGCUUUACAAGAGAAGAUGAUGAGACACGAUAUUCCUUUUAUAUCUUAACUUGUCAUGGGCUGCGAUAUGAAUGUUCAAGUACUUCUAAAAUACAGGUACUUCCUGUAUUAUUCAUGUACUUUGGACUGUUCCUUCUAAGUAUUUUUCAAUGUUGUGAUUAUUUCACACACGCAAGUAAAUCUUGUUCCUAUUGCUGCUCUUACAUGAAUUAUAUCAUUAUAUACUUUCUUUUUUCGGUGAUGGAUGAGGGGUAAAGAAGGUAAUCCAGUGCCUUCAUAACAAGGUUCCAGUAACAAUUAAGCAUACCAAUUCUCCAUAAUUGUGGGCUAAACAAUAUUAUGGAGGCAGCACAAAAUUUCAAUGGUCUAUGGUUAUGCAACAUGAUUAUCUGGAUUGUUCCAGGUUUUUUGUUUUCAUGCAUGCAUCAUGAAUUGCUUCUUACUUUUUGGUGGUCAUUUAAUGGUUAAGAUAGUGAAAAGUUCUUUACCAUGUUCAUUUGAGAUUUUGAAUUACCUGUACUAUAAUUUGUAGGCAUGUUGGUAUAAUUUGAGAUUCACAGUAAUUUCCCUUCAUUCCUCAGGUGGAUUCAUGGUUGGCAGCAUUACAAACUGACUGCAAGUCAGGUUCUGAUACAAAAGCUCCCAAUGGUUUGAGUGAAAUGUGAAUAAUAUGUGCAUUUCCACGUGUAAGCUGUACAUAUGCAAAAAGUUAGUUGUUAACCUUAGAUCAGUCCAUCUUAGAUUGGAAUGUGAUGACGCUAACCUAUUCAUUCUGUUUUUGUACAUAGAAUGACACAACAAAUAAACAGAAGUUAAUGUCGUAAGAUCAUUUUGGGACAGAACUAUGUUUCACAAGUUCAACUAACAAAAAGCAAUUAUUAUUGCAUCUGGUUGAACCUCUGGA